rnacentral:tRNA from 1 species
CAGAAAAUAGUAUAAAUAGUUAUUAUUUAAAUUUUGGGGAUUUAAGAUGAGAAAUCUUUUCUGA